UGGGGAAUUUUCCGCAAUGGGCGCAAGCCUGACGGAGCAAUACCGCGUGAGGGAGGAAGGCUUUUGGGUUGUAAACCUCUUUUCUCAAGGAAGAAGCACUGACGGUACUUGAGGAAUCAGCAUCGGCUAACUCCGUGCCAGCAGCCGCGGUAAUACGGAGGAUGCAAGCGUUAUUCGGAAUUAUUGGGCGUAAAGCGUCCGCAGGUGGUGCCUCAAGUCUGCUGUCAAAGACCGAAGCUUAACUUCUGAGAGGCGGUGGAAACUGGGGAGCUUGAGUACGGUAGGGGUUGAGGGAAUUCCCAGUGUAGCGGUGAAAUGCGUAGAGAUUGGGAAGAACACCAGUGGCGAAGGCGCUCAACUGGACCGUAACUGACACUCAGGGACGAAAGCUAGGGGAGCGAAAGGGAUUAGAUACCCCCGUAGUCC
rnacentral:rRNA from 1 species